GACGAACGCUGGCGGCGUGCCUAAUACAUGCAAGUCGAACGGUCUUUUCUAUGGAAGCUUGCUUCCACUGAGAAGAUAGUGGCGAACGGGUGAGUAACACGUGGGUAACCUGCCCAUAAGAGGGGGAUAACAUCCGGAAACGGGUGCUAAUACCGCAUAGUUUUCUUGAUCGCAUGAUCGGGAAAGGAAAGACGGCCUUUGUGCUGUCGCUUAUGGAUGGACCCGCGGCGUAUUAGUUAGUUGGUGAGGUAAUGGCUCACCAAGACGAUGAUACGUAGCCGACCUGAGAGGGUGAUCGGCCACAUUGGGACGGAGACACGGCCCAAACUCCUACGGGAGGCAGCAGUAGGGAAGCUUCCGCAAUGGACGAAAGUCUGACGGAGCAACGCCGCGUGAGUGAAGAAGGUUUUCGGAUCGUAAAACUCUGUUGUCAGAGAAGAACAAGUUGGAGAGUAACUGCUCCAGCCUUGACGGUAUCUGACCAGAAAGCCACGGCUAACUACGUGCCAGCCGCCGCGGUAACAC
rnacentral:rRNA from 1 species